rnacentral:rRNA from 1 species
AUUGAACGCUGGCGGCAGGCCUAACACAUGCAAGUCGAACGAGUGGCGGACGGGUGAGUAAUGUCUGGGGAACUGCCUGAUGGAGGGGGAUAACUACUGGAAACGGUAGCUAAUACCGCAUCCCUUCGGCUGUACCCAGAUGGGAUUAGCUAGUAGGUGGGGUAAAGGCUCACCUAGGCGACGAUCCCUAGCUGGUCUGAGAGGAUGCACAGCCACACGGGAACUGAGACACGGCCCAUACUCCUACGGGAGGCAGCAGUGGGGAAUAUUGCACAAUGGGCGCAAGCCUGAUGCAGCCAUGCCGCGUGUAUGAAGAAGGCCUUAGGGUUGUAAAGUACUUUCAGCGGGGAGGCGUUACCCGCAGAAGAAGCACCGGCUAACUCCGUGCCAGCAGCCGCGGUAAUAC